rnacentral:SRP_RNA from 1 species
GCUGGGUGUGGUGGUGCAUGCCUGUAGUCCCCGCUACUCAGGAGGCUGAGGUGGGAGGAUCACUUGAGCCCAGGAAUUGGAGGCUGCAGUGAGCUAUGAUCAUGCCACUGUACCCCAGCCUGGGCAACAAAGUGAGACCCCCACCUCUA